GUAUUGGUAGUUCAGUGGUAGAAUGCUCACCUUCCAUGAGGGAGACCUGGGUUCAUUUCCCAGCAAAGACA
rnacentral:tRNA from 1 species